CCUACGGGAGGCUGCAGUGGGGAAUAUUGGGCAAUGGGCGCAAGCCUGACCCAGCAACGCCGCGUGAAGGAAGAAGGCUUUCGGGUUGUAAACUUCUUUGACAGGGGAAGAGCAGAAGACGGUACCCUGAAAACAAGCCACGGCUAACUACGUGCCAGCAGCCGCGGUAAUACGUAGGUGGCAAGCGUUGUCCGGAUUUACUGGGUGUAAAGGGCGUGUAGCCGGGUCGGCAAGUCAGAUGUGAAAUCUGGAGGCUCAACCUCCAAACUGCAUUUGAAACUGUUGGUCUUGAGUAUCGGAGAGGUAAUCGGAAUUCCUAGUGUAGCGGUGAAAUGCGUAGAUAUUAGGAAGAACACCAGUGGCGAAGGCGGAUUACUGGACGACAACUGACGCUGAGGCGCGAAAGCGUGGGGAGCAAACAGGAUUAGAUACCCGGGUAGUC
rnacentral:rRNA from 1 species